rnacentral:rRNA from 1 species
AGAGUGAACGCUGGCGGCAGGCCUAAUACAUGCAAGUCGAACGGCAGCACAGUGGAGCUUGCUCCAUGGGUGGCGAGUGGCGGACGGGUGAGGAAUACAUGGGAAUCUGCCCAGUCGUGGGGGAUAACGUAGGGAAACUUACGCUAAUACCGCAUGCGCCCUUCGGGGGAAAGCCGGGGACCUUCGGGCCUGGCGCGAUUGGAUGAGCCCAUGUCGGAUUAGCUAGUUGGCGGGGUAACGGCCCACCAAGGCGACGAUCCGUAGCUGGUCUGAGAGGAUGAUCAGCCACACUGGAACUGAGACACGGUCCAGACUCCUACGGGAGGCAGCAGUAGGGAAUAUUGGACAAUGGGCGCAAGCCUGAUCCAGCCAUGCCGCGUGAGUGAAGAAGGCCCUCGGGUUGUAAAGCUCUUUUGUCCGGAAAGAAAAGCAUCGGGUUAAUACCCCGGUGUUCUGACGGUACCGGAAGAAUAAGCACCGGCUAACUUCGUGCCAGCAGCCGCGGUAAUACGAAGGGUGCAAGCGUUACUCGGAAUUACUGGGCGUAAAGCGUGCGUAGGUGGUUCGUUAAGUCCGAUGUGAAAGCCCUGGGCUCAACCUGGGAAUGGCAUUGGAUACUGGCGGGCUAGAGUGCGGUAGAGGAUAGUGGAAUUCCUGGUGUAGCAGUGAAAUGCGUAGAGAUCAGGAGGAACAUCCGUGGCGAAGGCGACUGUCUGGACCAGCACUACACUAGGCAC